rnacentral:misc_RNA from 1 species
GAACGCACCUUGCGCCCUUUGGCUAUUCUGAAGGGCAUGCCUGUUUGAGUGUCAUUAUACUCUCACACUCUCUAAUUAGUUAGAGAGCGGUGGAUUUGGAUGCUGCCUGGUACUUACUGUCAGGCUCAUCUUAAAUAAAUUAGUGCGACUCUUAGUUAAACAUAGUACGGCGUGAUAAGUAACCCUCGCUGUUUUCUGUCUGAUUAGGAGCUGUGCUUCAAACCGUCUCAGGACAAUAUUUGAUAACUUGACCUCAAAUCGAGUAGGAUUACCCGCUGAACUUA